rnacentral:pre_miRNA from 1 species
AUUACCCAAGGAUCUUGUUAAAAUGCAGAAUCUGAUUCAGUAGAUCUGAAGUGAGGCCCGGGACUCUGCAAUUCUAACAAGUUCUUAGGUGGUGCUGC